CGCCCAGGCAUUCCUCCUGCCAGGCCCUGUCGUGCCCCAUGCUCCCCGUCCCAAACGUGGAAAGCGCAGGUUGUCCUGCAAGAUCAGCUGAGGGCCUGAGGGCACCAUCACGUUGUUCAGCAGUGCCCAAAAGCCCAGCAGGGGCUGCCUUCGUUUUCUUGGCGGUGGAAGUUGUGUGGUGCCGGACCUGCGCUGCUCUGGGUUCGUAGAAUCGGAAUAUCCCGAGCUGGAAGGGACACGCAAGGAUCAUCGAGUCCAACACCUGGCUCCACACAGGUCUACCCAGAAAUUCAGACCAUAAGACUGAGAGCACAAUCCAAACGCUUCUUAAACUCCAGCAGGCUUGGUGCUGUGACUACGUCCCUGAGGAGCCUGUUCCAGUGUGCAACAACCUCCUUGGUGAAGAACCUUUUGCUGAUAUUCAGCCUGGACCUCCCCUGUCACAGCAUGACACCAUUCCCUCGGGUCUAUCGCUGGUCACCAGAGAGGAGAGAUCGGUGCCUGCCCUCCCUCAAAUAGGGGUUCUUGCAGAGUUUCAGUGAGAGCAACACAGCCCUGACCCCAUGGAGCUGCUUCUUGGUAUUCGGCACAAAAGUGGCAUCUGCAACCGGUUCUGCCCAUAACUGGAGGAACAGAGGGAAAAUCUUUUACUCAUCUUUACAAAGCCCCAAAAGAUAAGUUCUGCUAUGUAACGUCCAGGAUUGAGAAGCUUUCUACUGCCAGUAAGGUUGGAGAUGCUUACGCAACAUGUCUGGUGCACAGUGUCAUAGCAGCCCUGGGGCUCGUUAUGUGCCCACAUGGGAGUCUGUGUACAGUACAGACCUGGUGACUCCAUAGGAAAUGCUUUCUUGACGUCACACUAAUUCCCUGACCUUCCCCUCCACCCUCCGCUACUAUAUACAGUUGCUGGCUAUUUAUAUAUGAUGAAUAUGAUUCAGAAUUACACAUGCCAGAAAGACACUGAAUCUUUCAACCUAAUAAUUAAAAAAAGGGAUAUAGCAUGAUUGCUUUGUUCCAUCACCACAUGAAAGAGAACUAUUUAUUUUUGUUGUGGUUAGCUUAGUAGUAACAAACAAAAUAUUUUAUUCCUAUCCAUGAGAAGCAAUCUUGCCCAUCUUUAUGGGCUUCAUCCAAAGUGUGCUGGAGUCAGUAGCAGUAUGCAUGGGCUUGGAAUUAGCAUGUGACUGCAGAUCUAGAGAGCUGGAUCAGAGCAAGAGUGCUGCCAGACUACAGGGCUGAGCAUUGUACAAGACUUUGACACCCUGAGAGGGAAUAAUGCCUAUCUUUAAGUGGGGUCCAUGCAAUGCUUCAAGUCUUAGAAGGCAAACCCUCUGGUAUUGCAGCUGAAGCACUCUGUCAGGAGGCUGUUGCUGUGGCUGGACGUGUGGAGCAAGGAACAUUGUGAGAUUUUUGUGGUGUCAUUAGAUUACUGCUCAUGUGAAAUUGAGUGAUGGAUAGUUUACAUAGUCAGCCUUUUAGCAAAGUUCACCGGCAUGGCUCCAACUGUAUGUAUCGAGGCUAAUCUCAAUUACAAAUUGAAAAUGCCUCUGUCUUUGUCACUGCAGGGAUGGUCUGGAAAGUAUCGACUGAUUGCUACAGCUGAAAGCUUGUCAUGGUGAUCUUUAUCGCACCAAAGAUCACAGUGCACUCAGUGUACCAUGCAACUGUUCCACCCUGAUGGCUCUUUCAUUUUUCCUGGUUUUGCUGUUUGUCUAGGUCUUUCAUAUGAUAGUAAUCAAGGAAAAAAUGUAUUAAAAAACAAAUAUGAGGCUUGGAUUGUUUUAAACUGAGGUAAUAAUGAGGGAAUUUGGGAACAGUUGUACUGGCAUUCCUUUAAAAUCUUCCCACCUUCAACUUGGCUGGAAUUCAGGUAGAUGAUGAUAGUAGAAACCAAUACACAGAGGAAAAGUUUGUCAGAUCCAAUCAAGGAAGAUUUCAAAGAAAUGGCCAAGGAUUCUCAAUGCAAGGAAGAAGAAGAAACCAGCAAGGCCACUGAGGUGGGGAGAGGGCCAGUGGAGACAUGUAAUGAACGUCGAUAACUGCAUUUAGUUUCUUUGGCAAGUGUAAGAAAAUGACAUCAAUGGAUCAGAAUGGUUCCAUUUUUUUCCUCUGCCUUCCAAAAUGCGUACGUCCCAGAGAAGGGGUUUUAAUUUUGAAAGAGCCAGCCCAGUGGCUCCUGUGGCAGUAUAUAUUUACUUGGGACCUUCAGCUCAGGACAUCACAGCUGGAAGCACAGAAAUUCAGUUGUUCUACAGAUCCUGCAUCCCUUAUUCCAAGCACUUAUUUCAAGGCUUCUCACCCAACUUCUGUUUUUAGAGCAUGGAAAUGGAAGGAACAACGGCCAUGCAGAGAGUUCUCAUUCAGCUGACUUGUGUUCAUAUAAAUAUAGAUGUGAGUUGGCUGGUAGAUUGUCAAAAGUUAUUAUGUUAAUCUUGACUGAAAAUGGUCUUGAGGUUCAAAUACUGUAUUUGGACAGGAGGAGAGAGAUUUAUAAUCCAACCACAAAAAAGUAGCAUCUAUUUUGUGAAAGCAGGAAAAGAAAAGUGUCUAAAUUUGGCUCAGAUCCACAGGUUUUAUAAAAUCAUCAUUUGUAUCUGCUCAGCUGAAAUGGAUUACAUUUCAUCAGGUAACUUUCUAGCGAGUGUACCUAUCCUUCUCCAUGGCAGAAUGCAUCAACAAGUAAUUUUUGUUAUUACUGGCUAUUACAGUCUACUGUGGUGCUAGGCACAAAAGCUAUGUCUAGGCAGAGUUUCUCUUAUGAUUUUUCUUGUACAAGAAAAACGUGGAUCUGUAGCUUGAGAAGGGGAAAAGCCCAGAGAGCCCAGAGAAAGACAGAAGAAAUGGAGAAGAUAGAGGCUUGGAAGCAGAACCACUUAGAACUGACUAAACAGGGCAUUCAAACUGUGAGAGUUGUGGAAGUUUACAGAUACAUAAAGAUAUUAAGGAUUUAUGGAGUCAAGCUCUAAGAACUGCUAAAUGCCAGAUUCCAGACUGCAUGUGAAAUAUAAUUCCCUCUACAUAUGCAUUAUGUUC